UUGGUCUUGAUCCAAUUCAAUUUGUGACCACUUUCUUUUCAUAUCUCGUCAUUAUUUUGCUCAAAUCAUCAUCGCCACGGUUUUUGUUAGAUCCGCGUUUGGUUUAGGGUAUUUCUAUUCCAACGAGACUUAGGUUUGUGCAGGGUACUAGUCCAAUUCGUUCUUGAGAGGGGGAAACCCCAUCUUUGAAUCGGCCAGAAAUUGAUUGAUUUUUUUGGCAUUACUAGAAUUUCUUCCAAUUGACUGGGCGUGGUUAUUGUUUGGUGAAUCGCAUCAAGUAAUACUGAAUUUUGUUUGCUACAUCCUCUGAUGUCACUUGUUUGGCGAGGACUUGGAAUGUUCUCCCCUUAACCUGAGUAGACAUAUUGGUGCUGAUCUUGCCCUGGUUCAUCUGCUUCAACGGCUCGCGCUUUGCUACCGACGUCUUCGAGAGGAACCUCUUUCAGCCAUGUGAAGGCGCGGAUUAUGGAAGGCGGAAACUAUGGCUUGGGAAUUGGCAUGCCCUCCUCCUAAGCCUGCAGUGACAAACACAGAAGCAACGAAAUCUGCUCGUUCAGAAAUCUGAAUGUGGUUCCGUGUUGAAAAUAGUUCCAAUAUGUAAGACGCUUAAAGUUAUGAUUGUUUUUUGUUCUUGUACUGUAUGUAGUCAUAGAUCUGAUCGUACGAUAUCACAUUCUGAGUUUCUGUAAAAUCAUUUUCUCAGUGUAAAAUAUAUCAACCCUCACCUCUUCUCA